AAUUCCUUGUCGGGUAAGUUCCGACCUGCACGAAUGGUGCAACGAUCUGGGCACUGUCUCAACCAUGAUCUCGGUGAAAUUGUAGUAUCGGUGAAGAUGCCGGUUACCCGCAGUGGGACGAAAAGACCCCGUGCACCUUUACUAUAGCUUCGUAUUGACCUUGGUCAAACAAUGUGUAGGAUAGCUGGGAGGCUUUGAAGCUGCGUCGCCAGGCGUGGUGGAGCCGUUGUUGAAAUACCAGCCUUUGUUUGAUCGGGGCCUAACCCCUAACGGGGGACAGUGCGUGGUGGGUAGUUUGACUGGGGUGGUCGCCUCCAAAAGAGUAACGGAGGCUUCUAAAGGUGCCCUCAACACGGUUGGCAAUCGUGUGCAGAGUGCAAUGGCACAAGGGCGCUUGACUGUGAGACAUACAGGUCGAACAGGUAGGAAACUAGAGCAUAGUGAUCCGGUGGUUCCGCAUGGAAGGGCCAUCGCUCAACGGAUAAAAGGUACUCUGGGGAUAACAGGCUGAUCUCCCCCAAGAGCUCAUAUCGACGGGGGGGUUUGGCACCUCGAUGUCGGCUCAUCGCAUCCUGGGGCUGGAGAAGGUCCCAAGGGUUGGGCUGUUCGCCCAUUAAAGUGGCAC
rnacentral:rRNA from 1 species